UAUUGUUCUCCGAAACUGUGCCUCCGUGCUUGCACCUUGCCUAGUCAAACUCUUUCAGCUCUGUCUGUCAACAUCUACCUUUCCUUCUUGCUGGAAGUUUGCCUACAUUCAACCUGUUCCUAAAAAGGGUGACCGUUCUAAUCCCUCAAACUACUGUCCUAUUGCUUUAAUUUCCUGCCUAUCUAAAGUUUUUGAAUCUAUCCUCAACAGGAAGAUUCUUAAACAUCUAUCACCUCACAACCUUCUAUCUGAUCGCCAGUAUGAGUUCCGUCAAGGCCGCUCUACUGGUGAUCUUCUGGCUUUCCUUACUGAGUCUGCAGCCAGUGUGGCGGCGUAUCUUGUGUGGUGCGCGUGUGUAUCGCGUUGUGUUCCUCCUCAAAGACUUAGUGGUGGUCAAGAUAACCACGAUUGGCCAAGCCUUUCCCGAAGUGUGCUACCAGUAGUGUACAGGCUCCAUGAUACAAGGGAAUGCAGUACAAACGCAAGUCUCAACAGUAUAGAGUCAAAACCAUCCAGCACUCAGUGGCCCCAUCGCGCUGGUCAGUAGAGGACCCGAGGCCAUCAGACGCAGCGGAACCUUUCUGGGUCGUAAGGUGAUAGUCCGGGGGACGUAAAUAGCCAGACGACGCGAGGAGGAAAGUGCGGGAGACUGGAAUGAAGCGACUGGAGAGUUAUGAAGGAUGAUGCCGCCGAAGUCCCGAGCGGCUUCGAGACAAGGAAGAGAAGCUCCGCGACUCACUUGAGCCAGUCAGUCAGUGCUGUGACGCAAGGAGCAGCUUUCUCAGCGACAGGGAGCGGUGGACGGCGGAUGAAUACUUUGGCUCCCGCGCCUUCUUCUGCAUCAUGUCCGCCCGCUGACCCUGGUGGUGGGCGACGUGCGUCAGAGGAAUUGAAAAUGUAGGGGACUCGCUGCUGUGCCCUGCGUGUAGCUGUGAGGUGAAGUGCAGACGGCUGCAUUGUCUCAGCCUCGGAGGUGCCACUUGUUCAAAUUACGAAUGGUUUAAUGUUAUUUUUUGCAGGCUGUGGAAUAUUGCAGUAUCUUAUAACAAGACAAAUGAUAUAAAAAAGCAUGUA